rnacentral:rRNA from 1 species
CAUGAUGUCAUUUAUUUGNUGUUGUGGGNAAUUAGGACUGUUACCUUGAAAAAAUUAGAGUGUUUAAAGCAGGCUAACGCUUGAAUACAUUAGCAUGGAAUAAUGAAAUAGGACAUCCGAUUCUAUUUUGUUGGUUUCUAGGAUCGAUGUAAUGAUUAAUAGGGAUAGUUGGGGGCAUUAGUAUUCAAUUGUCAGAGGUGAAAUUCUUGGAUUUAUUGAAGACUAACUACUGCGAAAGCAUUUGCCAAGGAUGUUUUCAUUAAUCAAGAGCGAAAGUUAGGGGAUCGAAGACGAUCAGAUACCGUCGUAGUCUUAACCAUAAACGAUGCCGACCAGGGAUCAGCGGGUGUUACUAAUAGGACCCCGCUGGCACCUUAUGAGAAAUCAAAGUCUUUGGGUUCCGGGGGGAGUAUGGUCGCAAGGCUGAAACUUAAAGGAAUUGACGGAAGGGCACCACCAGGCGCGGAGCCUGCG